rnacentral:rRNA from 1 species
AUUGAACGCUGGCGGCAUGCUUUACACAUGCAAGUCGAACGGUAACAGGGUGCUUGCACCGCUGACGAGUGGCGAACGGGUGAGUAAUGCGUCGGAACGUGCCGAGUAGUGGGGGAUAACGCAGCGAAAGUUGUGCUAAUACCGCAUACGUACUGAGGUAGAAAGUGGGGGACCUUCGGGCCUCACGCUAUUCGAGCGGCCGACGUCUGAUUAGCUAGUAGGUGAGGUAAAGGCUCACCUAGGCGACGAUCAGUAGCGGGUCUGAGAGGAUGAUCCGCCACUGGGACUGAGACACGGCCCAGACUCCUACGGGAGGCAGCAGUGGGGAAUUUUGGACAAUGGGCGAAAGCCUGAUCCAGCCAUGCCGCGUGUCUGAAGAAGGCCUUCGGGUUGUAAAGGACUUUUGUCAGGGAGGAAAUCCCUAGUGCUAAUAACACUGGGGGAUGACAGUACCUGAAGAAUAAGCACCGGCUAACUACGUGCCAGCCGCCGCCGUAA